GUGAGCUCCGGACCGAGCAGGGGGAGGCGCCGCCAGCCCGGGCCCAGCCGGCGCUGCUGCCGCGGCGGCCCGGGUCAUGUGGACUGCCUUCCUUUUUUUUUUUUUUUUUUUUUUCCUUCCAUGCAGUUUACUUGGGAAAGGUGGGGUGGGGGCAGCUGGAGCAGCCAGUCAGGGAACAGCCUGCUGUUUGCUCACAGAUUGGGGGUUUUUCCUCUCUUUACUCCAACCGGAUUGGUUUGCUCCACGAGAAAGAGGCGUUUUCCUAAUCUCCUCCCUUCCCCACGCCUCCUACCCCUUCCCCCCGCCCCACCUUCCAGAAACCUGACUAAUUGAAUUACUGGGAGUGCCGAGGCGCCCUCUCCUGCGCCCGAGCCCAGCAGCCACGUGUAACCCUUUGGGUGCUGAAUUCCGUCUGGGUAAAGAAAUAAUUUGACAUCUUUUUACCUGGGAGUAGGGUCUUUCGAUUUUAAAGGAACCGGUGCCCACCCUUUGGCUGGAGAGCCGGCAUCUGUCUCUGGGGCCACUCAGGUGGCGAAUGGGCUGGAACGGAGCCUCAGGGAGUGCGCGUUCCUGUCAAUCUCCCUCCGCUCCCUGAGCCGCACGCUGUCGGGCGCUGGGUGAACUGGAAAUCUGAGAACCCCCUCCUGUGCCUUUCAGCCCUCCUCUCCCCGCUUGGAAUUUAAAGAUUGUUGGGCAGGAAGCAAGUUUUCUUUAAAGUGAUGCUCUGAAAACACGUUUUUAAAAAUCAGGCAAAUCACAGUUUAAAGUGAUUACAAUUCAGUGCGAACCUUCCACAGAGAGGAAAUGAAUGCGGCAGACGAGCCCUUCAGAAAUACCUCACACCUCUUCCAUUUCAACCUGGUGGGUGAUUUGCCGCCCACUCCCCAAAGAAUAAACGCCUUUAACGAACCUGGUGCGGAAAGAAACUGGGGCCGGGGGCGGGGGAUGAGAGAGGGAAAGCAGUUCCUUUAUUGUUGGAAAAGGCCCCUCGGUCCUGAACUUCAAGGGCAGGUUUGCACUCCUGGGUCUUCAGACGCCACCGAAGCGCGAUCUCCUGGCAGCGAGACUGUCCCAGCGCCUCGGAAUGCGUCCCCUGUGGUCCAGCGCCCGGGGAGCGAGCCCAACGCCUGCCCUGCGGGGCCACAGGCCCCCGAGACCCGCCCUUGCGGGGUCUGCGGGCUCAGGAGCAGCGGUAUUUUUCUCAUGUUCUCUAGGGAGUUUGCUGCAUUAGUGGGAAGGGCAGAUCCCCAAGAGAAAAAAAGGCAGUUUAGUUUUGCUCCCACACCUGCCAGCUCUCCUUUUUACUUAUUAGCCCAAUAAAAUCUAAUCUCACGUUCUGCCUCCUGCGCCUUCCAUUCUUCAGACUUGAGAUUUCCAGGCGCUUCAGAGCUGUUUGGAAGCGUCCAGACGCCCUCCAGUGGUGGGCCUGCAGUCCGCACCCAGCAGGGGCAUUGCCUGCAGCUCAGGCCGGAUCGAAUUUGAUGGAAAAUCUAGGGCUACGACCAAUAAAGACUUGAGAGGAAAAGAAACAGUUCAUAGAGGCACGGAGUUACCAAGAUGUUAUAGGCUCUUGGCUAAAAGUUGGGUCGUUUUUCAAUUACAGUAAUAUUUCCUAUCUGAAGAGAUCCCGAAAUCGUCCUAGGAAAGUAACUUACGUUUUGUGACUAGAUAACAAAUUGCAAUCUGUACAAUAAUGGACUCUACCACAAACCAACCAUCUGCCUAAUUAUUAAAAAUUGAAAUUCAGAAUGUCGACACAAAUGCUCCUGCGUCAUCUGUAUGUUUCACAAAGUUCCAGCAGUGAGAAAAAAAUGGGAAAAGUUAAGUAAGAGAACCAACGGAUAAGCUUUUAUUUUUCAAACCAAAUUUUCAGUUAAAAUGUUAUUUACUUUUUUCGCUGGUCUGUAAUCUUGCUGAUGUUCAAGUUCUUGGCUCAUUUUAGGGUGUGUCUGUUUUUUCUGGUGCAGGAAAGAUGGAUUUCUUUCCUUAGCUUUUCUGAUAGUGGCUCUAAUAGGUGCUCGUAUGACAGACGCAGUUUUGCAGGAAAUAUUCUGGACGCUUUUAAGAGAUAUGUGUAUCUUUAGAAAAAAAAAUCAUGACUCCUGUCUUGGGUAAAAUGCUGAUCCUCACUGAAGAGUCUUUUUAGUCAGGAAACUAUCAGGUAACAGGGAGCUAGCAAGCUGGCUUCCUGUGGCAUUAAAGCCAAAAAAAGGUGAAGAAAAAGAAACGGUAUCCGCUCAUUUCCCAUUUGAAAUACAUACAACCAAAUGGGAAAAAUCAAGGCAUCGGAAAAAUAUGGAUGUCCUAAUAUUUUAAAUAUCUCUUGUUCAAAGUUUGAAUAGUCCCAUAUUAAACAGAAAAACAAAAAAAGCAUACAUUGUGGUCUUCCUUAAAGUGAUUCAUAGGAUUGGAAUAACAUGUUGAAAUUUGCAGCUGUUCAUAACAUAACUCGAAUGUCUACAUGAAACAAUUCAUAAACCUAAAUCAAAUUAUUCUGGAAUUAUGUGCCUAAGUCAUUAUUGGUAUUGAAAUUACUAGGCGGCUGGAUGAUAGAUAUAGUAAGUCCUUACUUAAUGUCAGGGAUAGGUUCUUGGAAAUUGUGGCUUUAAACGAAGUGGCAUAUAUAAGGAAACCUAUUUCACCAUAGGCUACUUGAUAUAAACAAGAGUUAAAUUCUUGUGCAUAUCUCAGUCACAAAAACAUCACCAAACUUCCAGAUAAAGGCCAAAACAUUUCUAAUGUUAAACUUUGAAAUAAAUGUGAGCUAGACAUACACUUGAGAAAGAUUGAUAAAAACAAGUAAAAUCAUCUAACCAAUUUUUCCAGUUCAGGAUUGCGGGUGGCCAGAGCUCAGGGCUCAAGGAGGGAAGUAACCCUGGACAGGAUCCCGGGGUGCACUAACACUCACACCCACACUCACUCAUACUGGGAAUAUUUAGACAUGUGCACAGCUUACACACCACCUAGCAAGCACAGCUGUGGGAUGUGGGAGGAAACCAGAGUACCUGGAGAAAACCCACACGGACCAUGGGGAGAAUGUGCAAACUCCACACGGACAGCGGCCAUGGCCUGGAAUAGAUUUUUUUUCUCAUCACUAUUAUGACAGAGUGACGUUGAACCAAACGGCGUUGAGGACCUGCUGUACUUGAAUAGACUUUGAAGGGCCAGAUUAUUAACUGUACACUUAUGUUAGAUAAUGUGACUUUGUCUCUUCAGGGAAAUAUUCAUGUGAUUUAAAUUUAUACAAAUCAGCAUUAUAUGAAAUGAUUUUAUUAUAAUUCUCCCAGUGUCACAGAAGCAAUGACUUUUAAAUGCCUUUAAAUGACCAUUAGAAUACAAGUAUUUUGCCAGGUAUAGAAGCAGAUGAAUGUAUAACAGAAAGAAAACAGCAAGAACCUAACAACAUGGAGUCAAAAAAAAAAUGCAGAGAGUGUUCGAAUGCUUUGAGUUUGACAAGACAGUGUUAUAGGGAGCUGAGACCUGAAAAAACAGGUUGGUAAUGGACUAUAAAAGGGCUUAUCUGCAAUUCUAAGAAUGUUUCCAUUUAAAGCUAUAGGCCACUGGGUGCAUUGGUGGUUUUAAAGCAAGUACCAUUGAAGAAACAAUUUAUAUGCCUCAAAACACAAAUAGGAAUUUAGGUAUUUAAUUUUUUGAACUACCUUGAUCAGUGUUCUAAACUUGGCUACAAAUGAGAAUCACCUACAGAGCAUUAAGAAAAACAAACAACAAAACACACACACGCGCGCGCACACACACACACACACACACACACACACACACACACACACAAUCCCAGGGCUCCACUCCCUGUUUUAGUUGGUUAUAACGGAGGGGGACUUGGGAUCUACAAUUCUUAAAAGCUCUCCAGGGAAUACUAAUGAGCAUAGAGGAUUAAGAACCACUGAUCCAGGUAAUUUGUUUUUACUUAACUACUUUAAUAUUUCAGGCAAAAGUAAGUUCUGCGCUUAUUUAUCCGGAGAACUAGCCCAACUCACAAUUAGGCCAGAAUAUUGAAACUUUAGACAAUUUCAUGAUCUCUACUAAUGUGAAGUGAUACUGAUACUUUUAAAUAAUUUUUAUGUGGCACAAAAUUAUAUGUGAGUGCCAUCUCCAAGAUGUGGUUGCAGGGCAAAGCUUAAAUAUGGAUUAAUCUUCUUUCUUAGACUAGUUUUUAAUUUGAAUUAGCUGCCACCAGGUAGAAUUAGAGUUCUGUUUCCUCAGGUGUCUGGACAAAUAAAUGAAAUAAGCUGGCAAAUCAAAUUCCUCAGUCCAUAGACUAAACAACUCUUAAUAUGGCAGAUAAAUUAGAACUAGUAUCUAGAAGAGAUAAUAAAGGAAAUAAACUGGAGAACAACAAUUAAAUAAAUAAUAAUUAAACAUAAAGCUUUCUAACAGAAGACUAACAUAAUGGUAUUUAAGCUAACCCUGCUAUUUUCCUAGAACAUUUAGAAUAAAUCCUGAAGCUCCAAGAAGCUCGGAUCCCAUCACCAAAAUGUGACUCAGCUGUCCUGCCCACAGACUGAAGUUGCCAAUAAAGCACUCUCCCCUCCCUACCUUUUUUUAUAACAAGUUCCUAAGAAUCUUCAGAAAUAACUCUUUGCUGGCUUUUCUCUCCUCAGAGACUUUAAGAAAAGCUCCUUUUCUAUUCCUGAUCUAGUUAUCUCUUCUGUGUACAAUCUGAAAAAAAAAAAAAUCUGUAGAGUACCACAUCUCUCCUUUCAGUCCUGUGACCUUCAACUUCCGUCAUGAAUUUUCUCCCUUUUCCUCAUUCUCCCUUUCCUUUUCUGGGAUUUGCUGAAGUUCAUUUCCUUAAAUCUACAGAGAAACAGAAGCAGUUUAGCAAGUUGCUGCAAUAUCCUGAAAGAGGCAUUUAAAAAUGCUUUCAUUUAUGAACUUAGUCUAUUUGUUGUUUUGCUCAUUUUAAAACAUAUUUUAAAUAAAACCAACAUAGCAAAUUUCUUAAACACACAGAACUUUCAUCAGUCGUUUUGGUAAACAACAUAAACCAUAUAAUUAGUCACAUAUGUAAAUAUAUGUUAUGUUUCCAUGUAUUACAAAUGCAUAUGUGCUCAUAUGUAAUUUUUUUAAAAAAGCAAGCAAGGACUGGUUGAUGUAACCAAUUUCCACAUCACUUUUCAUUAUCUAGAUUUCAGGAUAUAUACCAUACGUACAGUUAGGUGACCAGUUUUCAACCAUAAAGCUUAAAUUGGUAAGUAAUUUUAUUCCCAUAAGCCAUUUUCAGGUUGUCUUUUACUAUCAAAAUGUGUAUAUACAUUCUACUUCUCUGUAUUUCCCUUUUCAGAUUUUUUAAUUAAAAUUACCAAAUAAAGUUUAUCUGUAUUUUACAAAUCUAAAAGAUCCAUCAGAAUAAAGUACAUUGUCCUGGUUGAGUGUGGUGGCUCAAGCCUGUAAUCCCAGCACCUUGGGAAGCCGAGGAUCACUUGAAGCCAGAAGUUCAAGACCAGUUGGGGCAACAUAGCGAGACUUUGUCUCAGAAAAUAUUCUUAAAAUUAGCCAGGUGUUGGCAUCGUGAUGGACUCCGGUGAUGGGGUCACCCACAUUGUGCGCAUCUAUUAGGGGUAUGCCCUCCCCCACACCAUCCUGCAUCUGGACCUGGCUGGCUGGGACCUUACCACCUCAUGAAGAUCCUCACCAAGCUACUGCUUCACCACCAUGGCUAGCGGGAAACUGUGUGUGACGUCAAGGAGAAGCUAUGCUACCUUGCCCUGUACUUCGAGCAGAAGAUGGCCAUGGCAGCCUCCGGUUCCUCCCUGGAGAAGAGCUAUGAGCUGCCCCACGGCCAGGUUAUCACCAUCCGCAACAAGCAGUUCCGCUGCCCUGAGGCACUCUUCCAGCCUUCCUUCCUAGGCAUGGAAUCUUGUGAAUCUCUGCAUCCACGAAACUACCUUCAACUCCAUCUUGAAGUAUGAUGUGGACAUCUGCAACGACCUGUACGCCAACACAGUGCUGUUUGGUGGUACCAUCAUAUACCCUGGCAUCACCGAAAUGAUGCAAAAGGAGAUCACCGCCCUGGUGCCCAGCACAAUGAAGAUCAAGAUCAUUGCUCCUCCGAGCGCAAGUACUCUGUGUAGAUGGGCGGCUUCAUCCUGGCCUGGCUGUCCCCCUUCUGGUAGAUGUGGAUCAGCAAGCAGGAGUACCACGAGUCCAGCCCCUCCGUCAUCUACUGCAAAUGCUUCUAGGCGGACUGUGAUUUAGUUGCAUUACACCCUUUCUUGACAAAACCUAACCUGCGAAGAAAACAAGAUGAGAUUGGCAUGGCUUUAUUUGCUUUUUUGUUGUUUUGGGUUUUUUUGUUUUUUGUUUUUGGCUUGACUCAGGAUUUAAAAACUGGAACGGUAAAGGUGACAGUAGUCAGUUGGAGCAAGCAUCCCCCAGAGUUCUAUAAUGUGGCCCAGGACUUUGAUUGUACACUGUUCUUUUUUAAAAUAGUCAUUCCAAAUAUCGUGAGAUGCAUUGUUACAGGAAGUCCCUUGCCCUUCCAAAAGCCACCCCUCUUCUCUCUAAGGAGAAUGGCCCAGUCCUCUCCCAAGGCCACACAGAGGAGGUAAUAGCAUCACUUUUGUGUAAAUUAUGUAAUGAAAAAUUUUUAAAAUUAUGCCUUAAUACUUUAUUUUAUUUAAUCUUUUAUUUGGAAAGAUUUUAGCCUCUGUGGCUACCCCUUUUUUGUCCCUCAACUUGAGAUGUAUGAAGGCUUUUGGUUUCCCUGGGAGUGGGUGGAG